rnacentral:rRNA from 1 species
AGUGAACGCUGGCGGUAGGCCUAACACAUGCAAGUCGAACGGCAGCACAGGAGAGCUUGCUCUCUAGGUGGCGAGUGGCGGACGGGUGAGGAAUACAUCGGAAUCUGCCCAGUCGUGGGGGAUAACGUAGGGAAACUUACGCUAAUACCGCAUACGACCUUCGGGUGAAAGAGGGGGAUCGCAAGACCUCUCGCGAUUGGAUGAGCCGAUGUCGGAUUAGCUAGUUAGCGGGGUAAUGGCCCACCAAGGCGACGAUCCGUAGCUGGUCUGAGAGGAUGAUCAGCCACACUGGAACUGAGACCCGGUCCAGACUCCUACGGGAGGCAGCAGUGGGGAAUAUUGGACAAUGGGCGCAAGCCUGAUCCAGCCAUACCGCGUGGGUGAAGAAGGCCUUCGGGUUGUAAAGCCCUUUUGUUGGGAAAGAAAUCUUUCAGGCUAAUACCCUGGGAGGAUGACGGUACCCAAAGAAUAAGCACCGGCUAACUUCGUG